UGACAUCACGAAAUUGGGGAGAUAUUUUUUUUAUUAUUUGCCUACUCUAGCAAUGUCACCGUAUUUCCAUUACACUUUAAGUUACUGUAAUUUAGACAAAACAGUCACAUUAGCCUCCGAGGUGCAACCAAUGUCUAGAGCACAAAUACUUAUUGGAUGCAGCUAUGGCGGUAUUAGCUAACUCAUGUCUGACUACAACAGUGUACUAACUAGCAGCAACAAACUCAAAACCAACCCAGGGCCAUAGCAAAACAUGUCACAGUUGGCUGCAUAGUGUAACGGCGUCACCGGCCUGAUUCUAAUCCAAUCUGGAGCCAGUCAAUCUACAUCUAUAAAACAUAGAAUAAGCUUCCAAACGAAAUUACGUUAUUUUUCUAGCUAUGUUUACAAUUGAGGGAUGAUGAAAAUCAUUGACCCUGUUUUUCUGUUAGUCGAAGUGCACAGUUUGGUUCCCAGUGAUCCCCUGGUAAUGAACCAAUGCCGGGAGCUACCAGAAGGAGCAAAAGUGGGUAUCAUAACAUAUCCAGCAAUGUGACUGCAAUGGUUUAGCGACCUCCAAAAAUAAUUGAAUUUACUGUUCACUUGCUAUUUUCACAGCUUGUUAAGCAAGAUCUCAGAAUUAAAGUGUGUCAUACGACACACGUACCCUUAUGACACCACCUCCAUUGUUUACAGAGUCUCCCUCGAAUCCUAUGAAAAGGACACGCCAUCAUGAGGCCUCUGAUAGUGACCUGAGUUACUGACUGCUUCAUCAACAACAACAGUUAAUGCCCUACUAGUCAACACCACCUCAUAAGAUUGCCUGCUGCACUUGUUCGAGAGAUGUCCAGUUUGCAGCCGAACAUGCAGCAUAGAGAACACCAGCAAGGGGGCCUCAUCAUCAUGCAGACAUGCCCUUGCUGUGAGCAUUCCUAUGAAUGGAACAGUCAGCCACAUGUUGGCAAGAAUCCAGCCAGCAACCUUCACCUGUCAGCUGCAACAGCUUUCACAGGCUCAUCAUUUGCACAAAUACAGAAGUAUAUUUUAUUAGAGGCCAGGAGGUGAUCUACGUACACUGCUAUGCACAUCAAUGGGGCUCUGGCAAAGACCUCACCUCCAGCCUCACCUCUUGCCUGCUCACCAAAAGUCAAUGAUGGGAAGAACAGAAUUAGGUAGGUUUAGUCU